CAGCCGCCGCGGUAAAACGAAGGGUGCAAGCGUUAAUCGGAAUUACUGGGCGUAAAGCGUGCGUAGGCGGUUUGUUAAGUCUGUUGUGAAAUCCCCGGGCUCAACCUGGGAAUGGCAAUGGAUACUGGCAAGCUAGAGUGUGUCAGAGGAUGGUGGAAUUCCCGGUGUAGCGGUGAAAUGCGUAGAGAUCGGGAGGAACAUCAGUGGCGAAGGCGGCCAUCUGGGACAACACUGACGCUGAGGCACGAAAGCGUGGGGAGCAAACAGGAUUAGAUACCCCUGUAGUCCCUGUCUCUUAUAA
rnacentral:rRNA from 1 species